rnacentral:rRNA from 1 species
CACUCCUACGGGAGGCAGCAGUGGGGAAUAUUGGACAAUGGGCGCAAGCCUGAUCCAGCCAUGCCGCGUGAGUGAUGAAGGCCCUAGGGUUGUAAAGCUCUUUCACCGGUGAAGAUAAUGACGGUAACCGGAGAAGAAGCCCCGGCUAACUUCGUGCCAGCAGCCGCGGUAAUACGAAGGGGGCUAGCGUUGUUCGGAUUUACUGGGCGUAAAGCGCACGUAGGCGGACUAUUAAGUCAGGGGUGAAAUCCCGGGGCUCAACCCCGGAACUGCCUUUGAUACUGGUAGUCUUGAGUUCGAGAGAGGUGAGUGGAAUUCCGAGUGUAGAGGUGAAAUUCGUAGACAUUCGGAGGAACACCAGUGGCGAAGGCGGCUCACUGGCUCGAUACUGACGCUGAGGUGCGAAAGCGUGGGGAGCAAACAGGAUUAGAAACCCGUGUAGUCCCA